rnacentral:rRNA from 1 species
CCUACGGGAGGCAGCAGUGGGGAAUUUUGGACAAUGGGCGCAAGCCUGAUCCAGCAAUGCCGCGUGAGUGAAGAAGGCCUUCGGGUUGUAAAGCUCUUUUGUCAGGGAAGAAAAGGGAUUGGCUAAUAUCUGAUCCUCAUGACGGUACCUGAAGAAUAAGCACCGGCUAACUACGUGCCAGCAGCCGCGGUAAUACGUAGGGUGCAAGCGUUAAUCGGAAUUACUGGGCGUAAAGCGUGCGCAGGCGGUUUUGUAAGACUGUCGUGAAAUCCCCGGGCUCAACCUGGGAAUGGCGAUGGUGACUGCAAGGCUAGAGUUUGGCAGAGGGGGGUAGAAUUCCACGUGUAGCAGUGAAAUGCGUAGAUAUGUGGAGGAACACCGAUGGCGAAGGCAGCCCCCUGGGUCAAAACUGACGCUCAUGCACGAAAGCGUGGGGAGCAAACAGGAUUAGAUACCCUGGUAGUCCACGCCCUAAACGAUGUCUACUAGUUGUCGGGUCUUAAUUGACUUGGUAACGCAGCUAACGCGUGAAGUAGACCGCCUGGGGAGUACGGUCGCAAGAUAAAACUCAAAUGAAUUGACCGGNGNGAGAGNGCGAGACGACACGAGGGAGGAGG